rnacentral:rRNA from 1 species
UACGGAGGGGGCAAGCGUUAUUCGGAAUUAUUGGGCGUAAAGGGCGCGUAGGCGGCUAGAUGUGUCAAAGGUGAAAUCCCUCGGCUCAACUGAGGAACUGCCUUUGAAACUGUCUGGCUUGAGGCCGGGAGAGGGUAGUGGAAUUCCCAGUGUAGCGGUGAAAUGCGUAGAUAUUGGGAGGAACACCAGUGGCGAAGGCGGCUACCUGGACCGGUUCUGACGCUGAGGCGCGAAAGCGUGGGUAGCAAACAGG